CCUACGGGAGGCAGCAGUGGGGAAUAUUGGGCAAUGGAGGAAACUCUGACCCAGCGACGCCGCGUGAGGGAUGAAGGCCUUCGGGUUGUAAACCUCUUUCAGUAGGGAAGAAGCGAAAGUGACGGUACCUACAGAAGAAGCACCGGCUAACUAUGUGCCAGCAGCCGCGGUAAUACAUAGGGUGCAAGCGUUGUCCGGAAUUAUUGGGCGUAAAGAGCUCGUAGGUGGUUCGAUACGUCGGAUGUGAAAAUCAGGGGCUCAACCCCUGACCUGCAUCCGAUACGGUCGAGCUAGAGUUUGGUAGGGGAGACUGGAAUUCCUGGUGUAGCGGUGGAAUGCGCAGAUAUCAGGAGGAACACCGAUGGCGAAGGCAGGUCUCUGGGCCAAUACUGACACUGAGGAGCGAAAGCGUGGGGAGCGAACAGGAUUAGAUACCCUGGUAGUCCACGCCGUAAACGGUGGGCGCUAGUUGUGCGAACCUUCCACGGUUUGUGCGACGCAGCUAACGCAUUAAGCGCCCCGCCUGGGGAGUACGAUCGCAAGAUUAAAACUCAAAGGAAUUGACGNGNGNGAGNGCGACGACGACGACGAGGAGGAGGAG
rnacentral:rRNA from 1 species